GGGGGCUCCAGGGAGUACAACGCUGCCACGUACCCGGCUCCCGUGGCCUCCUUCCAGCGGGCAUGCAGGGCGGAGGUGCUCCCCUGGCUGGAGAGGGUUGCCCCAGAUGGCGCUAGCGGCUCUGCAAGGCAGAAUGGCUGCUACUUCAGGAGCCCAUCCCCCGGGGUUUGCAGGCCUCCGGCUGCAGGGGCCCUGUGAACCUUCUGGGGACGCUCCCUGCACGAGCCCUGCUCCUCACAACAGAGCCGCUCUCAGCUCACAGCCCCUCCCCAGCGGAGGAGGACGCCUUGCAGCUCACCUGUCUCGCCCAGCUC